CCAACCUCCCUCGCCAAGAUGUCGACGGUGACCCACGCCUACCUCGACCAGAGGCUCGCCGCCGCCAAGCGCUGCUCCAGAGAGGGUGCCAUGGCCGGAGCCAAGGCCGCGGCCGUCGCCACCGUCGCUGCCGCAGUGCCCACCAUAACUGGCGAGCGUGAGGAUGCUUCCGUGGGCGAGGGCGCACCUGAACCCAACCGGGCAGGCGCUCAUCAUCUCC